rnacentral:rRNA from 1 species
GCGUUGUUCGGAAUCACUGGGCGUAAAGCGCACGUAGGCGGGUCGUUAAGUCGGGGGUGAAAUGCCAAGGCUCAACCUUGGAACUGCCUUCGAUACUGGCGACCUCGAGUCCGGGAGAGGUGAGUGGAACUCCGAGUGUAGAGGUGAAAUUCGUAGAUAUUCGGAAGAACACCAGUGGCGAAGGCGGCUCACUGGCCCGGUACUGACGCUGAGGUGCGAAAGCGUGGGGAGCAAACAGG